rnacentral:rRNA from 1 species
GAUGAACGCUGGCGGCGUGCCUAACACAUGCAAGUCGAACGAUGAAACCGCCUCCGGGCGGACAUGAAGUGGCGAACGGGUGAGUAACACGUGACCGACCUGCCCCCCGCCCAGGGACAGCCCCCCGAAAGGGGGAUUAAUACCUGGUACUCCGGAAGCGGCGCAUGCCGUCUCCGGGAAAGCUCUGGCGGCGGGGGAUGGGGUCGCGGCCCAUCAGGUAGACGGCGGGGCAGAGGCCCACCGUGCCGACGACGGGUAGCCGGGUUGAGAGACCGACCGGCCACAUUGGGACUGAGAUACGGCCCAGACUCCUACGGGAGGCAGCAGUGGGGAAGUUUGCGCAAUGGGGGCAACCCUGACGCAGCAACGCCGCGUGCGGGACGAAGGCGUCCGCGUCGUAAACCGCUUUCAGCGGGGAACACCUAACGAGGGUACCCGCAGAAGAAGCCCCGGCUAAAUACGUGCCAGCAGCCGCGGUAA